rnacentral:rRNA from 1 species
AUUGAACGCUGGCGGCAGGCUUAACACAUGCAAGUCGAGCGGAGUGAUGGUGCUUGCACUAUCACUUAGCGGCGGACGGGUGAGUAAUGCUUAGGAAUCUGCCAUUUAGUGGGGGACAACAUUCCGAAAGGAAUGCUAAUACCGCAUACGUCCUACGGGAGAAAGCAGGGGAUCUUCGGACCUUGCGCUAAAUGAUGAGCCUAAGUCGGAUUAGCUAGUUGGUGGGGUAAAGGCCUACCAAGGCGACGAUCUGUAGCGGGUCUGAGAGGAUGAACCGCCACACUGGGACUGAGGCACAGCCCAGACUCCUACGGGAGGCAGCAGUGGGGAAUAUUGGACAAUGGGCGGAAGCCUGAUCCAGCCAUGCCGCGUGUGUGAAGAAGGCCUUUUGGUUGUAAAGCACUUUAAGCGAGGAGGAGGCUCUUCUAGUUAAUACCUAGGAUGAGUGGACGUUACUCGCAGAAUAAGCACCGGCUAACUCUGUGCCAGCCGCCGCCGUAACAC